UUUGGUGGCCAUAAAGCUGUGGUCCGACCCGAUCCCAUCCCGAACUCGGACGUCAAACGCAGCAUUGCCGAUGGUAGUGCAGGUAGAGCCUGUGUGAGAGUAGGUUGCCGCCAAAU
rnacentral:rRNA from 4 species